GUUCUCAUUGUGCAAUGGGUAUGAUGGCUCUAGUGGGGCUCCUCCUGGUUUUUCUUUUCUGCCUACAGAAUGGACUCAAUCACCCUGAGGGUGCCUUCACCGCGUGACUGACCUGGCUAUGACACAGCCACUGUCGAUAGCGGUCCUUCAAAGCUCCCUGGUCCUGUUGUAUCUGGGAGUCAUGGUGUUGCUGUCCCGUAAGGCUGUGGCUUCCCCUUACCUCAUUCCUCAGGCUCCUGAACAGACUGGAUGUGUUCCUGCUGGAGGAACUUACCCUAGUUUACUUCCACUACCUUCCCUUUGAGUCUCCAAGUAAGUUCCAGGCAGGGGUUCUCUCACAUUGAGUGUCUGAACAUGGCAACAGUCAGUGAGUCUGAAGACCAAUGGUUCCCACUUCCUGAGGAUGCAGGAUAAAGUUCCCUGCUGGCACCAUCAGCCAUUUCAGAACUUGCUAUGAGCAUGGGAAUGACCAAUGGUGCUCAGCCAGCUUCAUCUGGUACCAUACUACUCCUGUCACAUACAACUCUUUCCUGAACCCAGUGAUACCAAGGUAAAGAGGACUCUAGCUCUGCCAAGGGUCCGGUUGGCUCCAGUCCUUCCCAGCAGAGCCAGGGAGGCUAUGGUUUUCAUGACAGUAACUUCAUGAAACCACAGGUUCUAGCUGGUUCCAGUUCUUCUCAGGUGACCUACAGUUCUGACCCUCAGAACCUUGAACAGGAUGACCUAGACCCUUGAUCCCCUGGCUUAAGCGAUGCUCUCUGGAAUCAGAAGUAGGGUUCCUGGAUUUCUGUAUAUAAUGGUAACCAAUAUAUGUUGCCAGUACUUUUAACGCCUGGUUUAUUGUGUUCCUCAUAUCCCAGUCCACGGAUGUAGUUUUGGACAUCACUAUUAUUACUGUCAUAGGGGCUACUAAACCUCUAAAAAGAACUUGGAUAUUGAAUUAACCAGGUACAACUUCUGAGUUUCGUCAUAUCUGAUGUGUAGUUGAUGUCUUGCCUUCCUCACAGCAAUCAGUACUAACCUGCAUUCUUAUACUGU